UACGGAGGGUGCAAGCGUUAAUCGGAAUUACUGGGCGUAAAGGGUGCGUAGGUGGUUUAAUAAGUUAUCUGUAAAAUCCCUGGGCUCAACCUGGGAAGGCCAGAUAAGACUGUUAGACUAGAGUAUAGGAGAGGGUAGUGGAAUUUCCGGUGUAGCGGUGAAAUGCGUAGAGAUCGGAAGGAACAUCGGUGGCGAAGGCGGCUACCUGGCCUAAUACUGACACUGAGGCACGAAAGCGUGGGGAGCAAACAGG
rnacentral:rRNA from 1 species